rnacentral:rRNA from 1 species
CUGGCGGCAGGCCUAACACAUGCAAGUCGAGCGCACCCUUCGGGGCGAGCGGCGGACGGGUUAGUAACGCGUGGGAACGUGCCCUUCUCUACGGAAUAGCCUUUGGAAACGAAGAGUAAUACCGUAUACGCCCUUCGGGGGAAAGAUUUAUCGGAGAAGGAUCGGCCCGCGUUAGAUUAGAUAGUUGGUGGGGUAACGGCCUACCAAGUCUACGAUCUAUAGCUGGUUUUAGAGGAUGAUCAGCAACACUGGGACUGAGACACGGCCCAGACUCCUACGGGAGGCAGCAGUGGGGAAUCUUAGACAAUGGGCGAAAGCCUGAUCUAGCCAUGCCGCGUGAGUGAUGAAGGCCUUAGGGUCGUAAAGCUCUUUCGCCAGGGAUGAUAAUGACAGUACCUGGUAAAGAAACCCCGGCUAACUCCGUGCCAGCAGCCGCGGUAAUACGGAGGGGGUUAGCGUUGUUCGGAAUUACUGGGCGUAAAGCGCGCGUAGGCGGAUCAGAAAGUUGGGGGUGAAAUCCCAGGGCUCAACCCUGGAACUGCCUCCAAAACUCCUGGUCUUGAGUUCGAGAGAGGUGAGUGGAAUUCCGAGUGUAGAGGUGAAAUUCGUAGAUAUUCGGAGGAACACCAGUGGCGAAGGCGGCUCACUGGCUCGAUACUGACGCUGAGGUGCGAAAGUGUGGGGAGCAAACAGGAUUAGAUACCCUGGUAGUCCACACCGUAAACGAUGAAUGCCAGACGUCGGGCAGUAUACUGUUCGGUGUCACACCUAACGGAUUAAGCAUUCCGCCUGGGGAGUACGGUCGCAAGAUUAAAACUCAAAGGAA